GAUGAAGAACGCAGCGAAAAGCGAUAAGUAGUGUGAAUUACAGAAUUCAGUGAAUCAUCGAAUCUUUGAACGCACAUUGCGCCCCUCGGUAUUCCGUGGGGCAUGCCUGUUCGAGCGUCAUUUACCCCUCAAGCACUGCUUGGUGUUGGGCGUCUGUCCCGCUUCGCGCGCGGACUCGCCCCAAAGGUAUUGGCAGCGGUCGUGCCAGCUUCUCGCGCAGCACAUUGCGCUUCUCGAGGCGGUCGAUCGGCGUCCACGAAGCUCACCUCCACCGUUUGACCUCGGAUCAGGUAGGGAUACCCGCUGAACUUAAGCAUAUCAAUAAGCGGAGGA
rnacentral:misc_RNA from 1 species